GCUCCCUUCGUCUAGCGGUCCAGGACGCUGGCCUCUCACGCCGGUAACAGGGGUUCGAUUCCCCUAGGGAGUACCA
rnacentral:tRNA from 3 species